GCUUACGGCCACACCGCCUGGUUCACGCCCGAUCUCGCUUUGAUCUCGGAAGCUAAGAUAGGGUGGGCCUGGUUAGUACUUGGAUGGGAGACCGCCUGGGAAUACCAGGUGUUGUAAGAU
rnacentral:rRNA from 1 species